AUUUUUUUCUUUCUUCUCAGAUUCUUCUUCCUCCUGCUCCCUUCAAAAAAGGUGUUGGGGAUAAGGAGAGUGUGGCUAUGUCCAUUUCUGUUGUCCCUGCAAAAGCUCCUCAAGGCCAUCACAUUUCUACUGCCUGGAUCUCCUUAAUGUCCUCUGGAUCAUUCUUGCUCAGAAAGUCCCACCUUGGCCUCUCCUGGAACCACCCCGAGUCCCUAGGCUGGUGCAAGUAUACUCCCUCCAUGCAUCACAGCAUUUAGAAAGAAAUGAAUUAGCUCACGUGAUUCUAAAGGCCAAGAAGUCCCACCGUAUGCCGUCUGCAAGCUGGG
rnacentral:lncRNA from 1 species